AUGUUGUAUGAGCUUCAUAAGACAGUCCUAGUAUUAACCUGCUCAUAAUACUACUAUGUAAUUCGUGCAUUACUGCUAGCCAACAUGUAUAAUAUAUA
rnacentral:ncRNA from 1 species